UGAACGUGCUCAACUAACAUUUGCCGCGUGACCAAUGGAACAGGAGGUCUCACGCUUGGUGUCUGUCAACACUGACUUCCUGACCUUGGCUCCAUGUUUGGUCCAUAUCAUCUCUGUAGGUCAUUCCAGAACUGAGAACUGAGCUAAAUAGAACAAGGAGUGAGUUUCUGCUUCUUCAAAUGGCUCCGCCACCCAGGGGUGAGGAACCUGUGUGCACUGCGUUCCUGGAUGAAGGAGAAGUGCAGAUAUGGACGUUACCUCCUAGACUUCAUCAGCCUGGGAUAAAAGUCUGGAUACAGAGUAAAGAAAACUUCUCUGGCUCUACCUCAUGUACACUGUGAUCCUGCAAGAAUCAGUGUGAGCGCGUCUCACCUCUUGGUAACGCUGCUUGAUGUACUUCUCUAGCUUUGUGAGGCAGACAUCAGCAUUCUGCCCUUGGUGCUGCAGCUGUUGCUGCCUCCUGUGAUCUGUGCAGCUGGCCCAUCUCCAUAGCGGAGGAUGGUGUUAGCACCACCAUGGUGCCUCCUCUAGCAAUGUUUGAAUAAUAUAUGCAGGUAUGGGCCCUGUGAUGUUAUCCUGUAUUGACUGGGUUCAUGUGGACAAAAAGGAGCUCUCUCUCAUGUGUUACUGAUGGUAAUGUAAGCUAGACCAUCCACCAUGCACAUCAGUAUGGUGAGUUCUCAAAGGACGAGAAGGAGAUCUACCACGUGCUUCAGCUGUAUUUCUCCCAAGUCUUUAUCCAAAAGGCUCCAUGUUACCACAUCGCAGAGAUGUUUGCAUGCCAACGUUUCCUGCAGCACUGUUCACAGGAGCUAAACUGUUAAACCCACCCAGGUAUCAUAUCCAGCACCUGCAGAAUGCAAAAAGCAAAUGCUGUAUACAUGCAAAAUGGAGGAUGAAGUCUCACAUGUAAAUAGAAAUGGAUGCAUUGUGGAGAUAAUCGUGUUAAGUGUAACACACCAGUCUCAGGAAGGUAAAUAUGUGUUGUCUCUCGUUUUCGGCUCCUAGAUUUUGCAUAGAAACAUAAACUCACACAUGCAUAUAUAUGACAUGGAGGUUGAAGAUGCACUGUCUAAAGGGACAAACAGGGGAGACUAAUUGGAGGCGUGAGAAAGGAGAACGACAGGGAAAGUACCCAGGGUGCAGUAUGUGCGAAACCAUCCUCACAGGGCAUAGCACAGUAUGUAUAUAUGAUGAACAUUCAAAAGAAAAAAGUUUUAAAAUUAAAAUUAAUACAGAAGGAAGAAAGCUUGCUAGUGACACCCAUGCUGUAGUCUUUUCUCAGCUUCUCUCCUAGUGUUUAGAGGAAGUGUCGUCAGCAGGACAGGGGCAGCAUGACUUCUGCCAUCGGCGGCAG